rnacentral:rRNA from 1 species
GUAACACGUGGAUAACCUACCUAUAAGACUGGGAUAACUUCGGGAAACCGGAGCUAAUACCGGAUAAUAUUUUGAACCGCAUGGUUCAAAAGUGAAAGACGGUCUUGCUGUCACUUAUAGAUGGAUCCGCGCUGCAUUAGCUAGUUGGUAAGGUAACGGCUUACCAAGGCAACGAUGCAUAGCCGACCUGAGAGGGUGAUCGGCCACACUGGAACUGAGACACGGUCCAGACUCCUACGGGAGGCAGCAGUAGGGAAUCUUCCGCAAUGGGCGAAAGCCUGACGGAGCAACGCCGCGUGAGUGAUGAAGGUCUUCGGAUCGUAAAACUCUGUUAUUAGGGAAGAACAUAUGUGUAAGUAACUGUGCACAUCUUGACGGUACCUAAUCAGAAAGCCACGGCUAACUACGUGCCAGCAGCCGCGGUAAUACGUAGGUGGCAAGCGUUAUCCGGAAUUAUUGGGCGUAAAGCGCGCGUAGGCGGUUUUUUAAGUCUGAUGUGAAAGCCCACGGCUCAACCGUGGAGGGUCAUUGGAAACUGGAAAACUUGAGUGCAGAAGAGGAAAGUGGAAUUCCAUGUGUAGCGGUGAAAUGCGCAGAGAUAUGGAGGAACACCAGUGGCGAAAGCGACUUUCUGGUCUGUAACUGACGCUGAUGUGCGAAAGCGUGGGGAUCAAACAGGAUUAGAUACC